CAGCAGCCGCGGGAAUACGGAGGGUGCAAGCGUUAAUCGGAAUUACUGGGCGUAAAGCGCACGCAGGCGGUCUGACAAGUCAGAUGUGAAAUCCCCGGGCUUAACCUGGGAACUGCAUUUGAAACUGUCAGGCUGGAGUCUUGUAGAGGGGGGUGGAAUUCCAGGUGUAGCGGUGAAAUGCGUAGAGAUCUGGAGGAAUACCGGUGGCGAAGGCGGCCCCCUGGACAAAGACUGACGCUCAGGUGCGAAAGCGUGGGGAGCAAACAGGAUUAGAUACCCCUGUAGUCCCUGUCUCUUAUAU
rnacentral:rRNA from 1 species